AUUGCAAAUGAUUCUAUCGCCUCGAGAAAUCGGGGAGGAAAGUCCGGGCAAUACAGAGCGCCAUACUUCUUAACGGGAAGUUCCGAGUAAUCGGAAAGCUAGUGCUACAGAAAAUUACCGUCCCGAGUACUCGGGAUAAGGGUGAAAAGGUGAGGUAAGAGCUCACCAGUUCUAAGGGUGACUUUAGAAGCUGAGUAAACCUUAUGGAUUGAAAGGCCAAAUAAACCAGGGCUUGAGGGCUGCUCGCCCGAUCCUGGAGGGUAGGUCGAUUGACCUUAUUGGUGACGAUAAGGCUAGAUAAAUGAUAGAAACCCAAUUUGUUGGGACAGAACCCGGCUUAUAAAUUUGCAUUCACA
rnacentral:RNase_P_RNA from 1 species